rnacentral:misc_RNA from 1 species
CUGAGUGAGGGCCCUCUGGGUCCAACCUCCCACCCGUGUUUAUUUGUACCUUGUUGCUUCGGCAGGCCCGCCUCACGGCCGCCGGGGGGCUUCUGCCCCCGGGCCCGCGCCUGCCGGAGACAAUCUUGAACGCUGUCUGAAGAAUGCAGUCUGAGCGAUUAGCAAAAUUAGUUA